CGGACAGAAGCCCGCUGGGUAGGGUGUUUAGCUGUUAACUAAAGUUUUACGGGAUCGAGGCCCGUCUGUCUAG
rnacentral:tRNA from 1 species